AAGUCGUAACAAGGUUUCCGUAGGUGAACCUGCGGAAGGAUCAUUAACACGUAUCCACGUAUCAACCAACCGCGAACUUGUUCUCCCCUCCCUCUGGUGCACAUGAGUUGGAAGUCUACUUGGUAGUGAGUGGGGUCUUCGGACCAGCCUCGUAGACCGAUUGUGAGCAAUCACGACAACUGUAGUGUUUCGGAGGUUUUCCUCUGCUAGUCAGUUCUCCACACAUGAGCUGCUUAGUGGAAUUUAAUAACCUAUUUAACCCCUCUUUUUGCUAGUUGACUUUUUUAUGUUGUUAUCAGCACGAUUAAUUUCGCGUCGAUUUCACACGUUUAAUUACUUGAACGUUAAAGAAACAACUCUUAGCAAUGGAUAUCUUGGUUCUC
rnacentral:misc_RNA from 1 species